rnacentral:rRNA from 1 species
UGGGGAAUAUUGGACAAUGGGCGAAAGCCUGAUCCAGCAAUGCCGCGUGAGUGAUGAAGGCCCUAGGGUUGUAAAGCUCUUUUACCAGGGAUGAUAAUGACAGUACCUGGAGAAUAAGCUCCGGCUAACUCCGUGCCAGCAGCCGCGGUAAUACGGAGGGAGCUAGCGUUGUUCGGAAUUACUGGGCGUAAAGCGCGCGUAGGCGGCUUUUUAAGUCAGAGGUGAAAGCCCGGGGCUCAACCCCGGAAUUGCCUUUGAAACUGGAAAGCUAGAAUCUUGGAGAGGUCAGUGGAAUUCCGAGUGUAGAGGUGAAAUUCGUAGAUAUUCGGAAGAACACCAGUGGCGAAGGCGACUGACUGGACAAGUAUUGACGCUGAGGUGCGAAAGCGUGGGGAGCAAACGGGAUUAGAUACCCUGGUAGUCCACGCCGUAAACGAUGAUAACUAGCUGUCCGGGUUCAUAGAACUUGGGUGGCGCAGCUAACGCAUUAAGUUAUCCGCCUGGGGAGUACGGUCGCAAGAUUAAAACUUAAAGGAAUUGACGGAGUCAUAGCUGUUUCCU